ensembl:snoRNA
AGCCUUUGUGUUGCCAGUUCGCUUUUGGAAACUAGUGAAUGUGGUGUCAUAAAAGGCACAAAUAAAUGCUUUGCAGCCAUUUCCUGCCCUUAAAUUUUGAUAUCUUUGGUGUUGGAGCUGUAUAAGCAACAGUA